GUCAACAUGUCCGAGUGGUUAAGGAGAUAGACUCGAAAUUUAUUGUGCUUUGCCUGCUCAGGUUCGAAUCCUGCUGUUGACG
rnacentral:tRNA from 1 species